rnacentral:rRNA from 1 species
UACGGAGGAUCCGAGCGUUAUCCGGAUUUAUUGGGUUUAAAGGGUGCGCAGGCGGGAGAUUAAGUCUGAUGUGAAAGCCCACGGCUUAACCGUGGAGGGUCAUUGGAAACUAGUCGACUUGAGUGCAGAAGAGGGAAGUGGAAUUCCAUGUGUAGCGGUGAAAUGCGUAGAGAUAUGGAGGAACACCAGUGGCGAAGGCGGCUUCCUGGUCUGUAACUGACACUGAGGCGCGAAAGCGUGGGGAGCAAACAGGAUUAGAUACCCGGUACGGUCCU